GGAGCACAGAUGUCCUCUUUACCUGUGUACCCCAGGUAUUUCAGUUUGGCCAUGGUCAUGAUGAAAAGGCACCCAGCAAGGCCCUGCCUCUCUCUCAGCACUGAGCCCACUCCUGCAUCAGGACCGGUCACUGCUCCUUGGCCCAGUGGAUCUUGCCAUCUUCUCGCAGCUGCACAGCCCCGCUGGCCACCAGCUGAAGAGCGGCAGGAAAGAUCUUAUGUUCUGCCACUUUGACCCGUUCAGACAGCGUUGCCACAGUGUCACCCCUCCGCACAGGGACAGCUUCCUGCAGGAUGAUUUGUCCGGCAUCUACAUCUUCC
rnacentral:lncRNA from 1 species